rnacentral:rRNA from 1 species
UACAGAGGGUGCGAGCGUUGUCCGGAAUCACUGGGCGUAAAGGGCGCGUAGGUGGCGCGACAAGUCAGUGGUGAAAGUUCGACGCUCAACGUCGAAUCGGCCACUGAUACUGUUGGGCUUGAGCACUGUAGAGGCUAAUGGAAUUCCGGGUGUAGCGGUGGAAUGCGUAGAGAUCCGGAAGAACACCGGUGGCGAAGGCGGUUAGCUGG